rnacentral:lncRNA from 1 species
GCGCCCGCCGGGGCGCCUUCGCCGGGCGGGCAGCGCCUCUCCGGCCGCCGCUCCGCCUCCUCCGGCGGCGAGUGCCUCCCCCUCAGCCGGGCGGAGGAGGAGGAGGAGGAGGGGCCCUUCGCCCGAAUUUCGGCCCAUCGGAAGAGGCGGCGGGGGGGGCGGGCAGGUGGGGCGAGCCGCGCUCGCCGGUCCCGGGCGCUGCCGGCCGGAGCAGCGGGUCGGGGGCCUCGCCGUAGGCACAGCCGCCUGCGUCGGCCGCUGAAACACGCGGAGGUGUUUUUAGGCAUUACCCACUGCARUGGCACCACCAUAAAGUGGAUGGAUGGAUCAUGGCGGGUGUAACGGAUGCCCACCUGGCUAAAUGUCUACAUGCUGAAGGUCAGAAUUGUUCACACACUUUACUGAUGUUGGAAGUCUGUGGCUUUCACUGGGAAUGACGAUUUUCUAUUUGCACUAGAAUUUUUUUCAGAAAACACACCACCUAUAUGAAUUGAUUUAAAAACUACAAGCAUAAGGAGGCCUUCAGAUUUACAUAUUUCCAUGCCAGUGCAUUUGCCAGACAUUAAAGCAGCCUGAAGUGAUUG